rnacentral:lncRNA from 1 species
CCAAGGGCGGAGUCGCUGCGGACACCGCCCCGCCGAGCCCUCCCGCGAGCAGCAAAGCACUAAAAGGCCAGUUGAGUCCUUCUAGCAACCACCCUAUUGAAAACAGGCUUCCAUGCUCAUAGUAAGCUUUGUCCCAGCAUUCCGAAGAUUGCAGUUGUUAGACCCUCGGGGCAAAGGAUCUGGGAGGAAUGGAAAAAGCACUAAAAAGACCAAGGCCUGUUUGUAUGAUGUCCAUCUUCCUGUAUGAUGUCCAGAGACCCAAUCCUGUUCUGUGAAAAAUGUUAAUGGACCAACCUUCAGUUCCGAUGUAGGCAGCAGAUCCAACACCACAAUCUAGGUGCCGUGGCUUCAGGCAAGGAAACUUAACAGAGAAACUAAGAAAACUGUGUGAUCCCAGAGCAAGCGCUACCAUUGUUAUGAAGUAAAUACUAAUUAUUAUAAAGAUAAAAAUAAUCAAGUUAAAACCAGGUAAGAUUUUAGAACCAAGGCAUAAAAUUCUCUUAAAAACUGGUUG